rnacentral:rRNA from 1 species
GACGAACGCUGGCGGCGUGCUUAACACAUGCAAGUCGAGCGGUAAGGCCCUUUCGGGGGUACACGAGCGGCGAACGGGUGAGUAACACGUGGGUGACCUGCCCUUAGCUCUGGGAUAAGCCUGGGAAACUGGGUCUAAUACCGGAUAUGACUCCAUAACGCAUGUUGUGGGGUGGAAAGCCUUGUGCGGCUAGGGAUGGGCUCGCGGCCUAUCAGCUUGUUGGUGGGGUGAUGGCCUACCAAGGCGACGACGGGUAGCCGGCCUGAGAGGGCGACCGGCCACACUGGGACUGAGACACGGCCCAGACUCCUACGGGAGGCAGCAGUGGGGAAUCUUGCGCAAUGGGCGAAAGCCUGACGCAGCGACGCCGCGU